GAGGAACAAGUGGAAGGCACAGCAGAGGUAAAGAGUGGGGGGGUCAUAGAUAAUGAUUGUUGAUAUAGACACAUUAUUGUUUCGGUUCCCCACGUUCAACUGGGGAUGGGCAACUCCUCAAAAAGCGUUCUAUAAAAAUUGGAAAAAGCUCUCAAUCCCUUUCUAUAUGACCAUCUCCACCUCCCAUCUUACUCCAACAUUCUCUGCCUUAUCCC
rnacentral:lncRNA from 1 species